rnacentral:lncRNA from 1 species
AAAAGACCUCUGAGAUCCCCAAAUCCAACCCCAACCCACUGCCCAAUGUCCACUGACCACUUCCCUCAAUGCCACAUCUCCAUGGUUCUGGAACACCUCCAGGGAUGGUGACCCCACCACCUCCCUGGGCAGCCUAUGCCAGUGCAUCACCACUCUUUUGGAGAAGAAGUGUUUCCUAGCAUCCAAUCUGAACCUCCCCUGGUGCAGCUUAAGGCCUAAAUCAUGGCUGGGGCUCCUAGUCAGGCACCAGAGGAGAACAUGUGAGAAUUUCCCAAUUCACAUCAUCCCAGCACUUCUUUUCCCAAACAAACUGCCCAGUUCUUCCCCCACAUGAAAAGAGUCUCUUUCUCUUCCUGGCUCUUAGGGUGCUGAGGAUCAGGUCUUCUGCUUUUGGGCCCUACCGCCAUUGGAAAUUCAGAUUUAUGCGAAGCCAGACAAGAAAUAGCUGAGUUUGCUCAUUUUUGAGGAGGUAUCCAGGAAAACGCUUUUAUCAGCUCCAUUCAUCCCCAGACAUUGUGUAUUCUCUCAGCCAAGGUCACAAGCCAACCCUUCCUCUCUCUGCAGACCUUUGAGGGAGAGAUGAGCUCUUCUGCAUGUCCAGAUGCCUGCUGUUGCUUGGGAUGAUGCAUGUGAGCUUGUGCGGUCUCUUCCCACCGGAGGGCACAGGACACCAUUCUCCAGCAGAUCUGUUCCAGGCAUCUCCUUCUCUCAAGGCAAAGACAACCAGACUUUUAGUCAAACUGGAUAUUUGCUGUGAAGUGACAAUGGCUGAAAUUGGAUACUACAAGGAUGCUCCAAGUGGCUGAUCAGAGUGAGUGGUAUAUUCCUUCUUGUAUUUGCCAUUGUCACGAGCAGAAAAUAGUAUUCAUGUAGGGAGAUUCUUGUGAAGUUGGAGGGAGCAAGAAGAAGAGCCCCAGAUGAGGGAGGGAUGUCACAGAAGCAAAUGCUAUCAUCCUCAGAAAUAAUUUCCCAUUUCAAAUACAGCAGCACUAAUAC